GGAUCAUUAGUGAACCUGCGGAAGGAUCAUUA
rnacentral:rRNA from 1 species